rnacentral:tRNA from 1 species
GCCCUCUUAGCUCAGUGGUAGAGCGUGUCACUCGUAUAGGAGUAAAGGGAGCCGGCGUUACAUGACAAGGUCAGUCGUUCAAGUCGGCUAGGGGGCA